rnacentral:lncRNA from 1 species
UGGUGCGUGAGAAACUGUAAGAAUUGGAAGACUGUUUUAUGGUCCUUUUAAUCAUGAUUUAAUCAGACAUUAUGUGCUUCGGAAUUUUUUGUUUAUGGCUUCAGCAGAUAUCUAAGCUCUCUCAGUUCUGGUCGGGCUGCCUGAGGCUGGCUCUGCCCUUCAUGUUCCUAGGCACAUAGCCAGCUCAGUUGGUAAGUUGCAGUUUGUAAUUUUCCAUUACUCUAGCAGGAUAGUUAGUAAAAUUUGCAAACUUAUGCAGCAAAUGCAAUCUGGCGAAAGAAGGGAAAUAGAUGUUUGAUCGCUCAUGAUCAGUGUGGACAGGGGCAGUAGCAGUGCAAUAGCAGCAAGGCUAGAAACUACAACAGUAGCCGGGUAAUACUAGUUUGUUUUUACACACAGCAGCUCCUCCUCUCCUCCCCUCGUUCUCCGAGCUACAACUUUCACAUUCGCAGGAAGCUGUCCCACGCAGCUCUCGAGCAGACGUCUGCGGUCCUAUUGUCUGUGAUGUUGCUUGACAUUCUGGUCCUGCCUGUGGGCGAGUCUCAGCCUGCGAGUGUCUGGUCCCGGCGCAGACCGGCUGCCUCCUCACAGCUUCACUGCAGUCACUCUGAAGACAUGGAGUUCAGGGCCACGCUCACAACUGUGGCGCUCUGGGCUCUGCUGCAGUGGCUGGUUGAGUCUUCUGCUACGCAGACUUGUAGUGCACCCAGGGAUACCUUUAAAAGACUUGUAAGUAGAAUUUACAUUCAAAAGUACAUUAACUUACAUGCCGAACACAUCUUCUUCCCAGCCAAAUAUAGUAAGUUAGUACUGCUGAGGAU